rnacentral:rRNA from 1 species
GACGAACGCUGGCGGCGUGCCUAAUACAUGCAAGUCGAGCGGGGAUUAUGCUUGAUCGCUUCGGUGAGACGGCAUAUAUCCUAGCGGCGGACGGGUGAGUAACGCGUAGGUAUCUGUCCAUGGGUGGGGGAUAACAGCGGGAAACUGCUGCUAAUACCGCAUGACACCUGAGGGUCAAAGGCGCAAGUCGCCUGUGGAGGAGCCUGCGUCCGAUUAGCUUGUUGGUGGGUAACGGCCUACCAAGGCGAUGAUCGGUAGCUGGUCUGAGAGGAUGAUCAGCCACACUGGGACUGAGACACGGCCCAGACUCCUACGGGAGGCAGCAGUGGGGAAUAUUGGACAAUGGGCGCAAGCCUGAUCCAGCAAUGCCGCGUGGAUGAAGAAGGUCUUCGGAUUGUAAAGUCCUUUCGGCGGGACGAUGAUGACGGUACCCGCAGAAGAAGCCCCGGCUAACUUCGUGCCAGCAGCCGCGGUAAACA